GCGUGAGUGAUGAAGGCCCUAGGGUUGUAAAACUCUUUCAACGGUGAAGAUAAUGACGGUAACCGUAGAAGAAGCUCCGGCUAACUUCGUGCCAGCAGCCGCGGUAAUACGAAGGGAGCUAGCGUUGUUCGGAUUUACUGGGCGUAAAGCGCACGUAGGCGGAUCGUUAAGUUAGAGGUGAAAUCCCGGGGCUCAACCCCGGAACUGCCUUUAAUACUGGCGAUCUUGAGUUCGAGAGAGGUGAGUGGAAUUCCGAGUGUAGAGGUGAAAUUCGU
rnacentral:rRNA from 1 species